rnacentral:rRNA from 1 species
UAGGGAAUCCUCCACAAUGGACGCAAGUCUGAUGGAGCAACGCCGCGUGAGUGAAGAAGGCUUUCGGGUCGUAAAACUCUGUUAUUGAAGAAGAACGUGUGUGACAGUAACUGGUCAUGCAGUGACGGUAUUCAAUCAGAAAGUCACGGCUAACUACGUGCCAGCAGCCGCGGUAAUACGUAGGUGGCAAGCGUUGUCCGGAUUUAUUGGGCGUAAAGCGAGUGCAGGCGGUCUUUUAAGUCUGAUGUGAAAGCCUUCGGCUUAACCGAAGAAGGGCAUCGGAAACUGGGAGACUUGAGU